AGUGAACGCUGGCGGUAGGCCUAACACAUGCAAGUCGAACGGCAGCACAGUAAGAGCUUGCUCUUACGGGUGGCGAGUGGCGGACGGGUGAGGAAUACAUCGGAAUCUACUUUUUCGUGGGGGAUAACGUAGGGAAACUUACGCUAAUACCGCAUACGACCUACGGGUGAAAGCAGGGGAUCUUCGGACCUUGCGCGAUUGAAUGAGCCGAUGUCGGAUUAGCUAGUUGGCGGGGUAAAGGCCCACCAUGGCGACGAUCCGUAGCUGGUCUGAGAGGAUGAUCAGCCACACUGGAACUGAGACACGGUCCAGACUCCUACGGGAGGCAGCAGUGGGGAAUAUUGGACAAUGGGCGCAAGCCUGAUCCAGCCAUACCGCGUGGGUGAAGAAGGCCUUCGGGUUGUAAAGCCCUUUUGUUGGGAAAGAAAAGCAGCAGGUUAAUACCCCGCUGCUCUGACGGUACCCAAAGAAUAAGCACCGGCUAACUUCGUG
rnacentral:rRNA from 1 species